GACCCAGUGUGGCAUAGCGGUUUGAGUGUUGGACUAUGACUCUGGAGGCCAGGGUUCGAUUCCCAGCUUGGCCA
rnacentral:tRNA from 1 species